UUAGAUUUACUUUGGUUAGAUUUAAUAUAGUUAUGUUGGGUUAGGUUAGGUUAGAUUUACUUUGGUUAGAUUUAAUAUAGUUAUGUUGGGUUAGGUUAGGUUAGAUUUACUUUGGUUAGAUUUGAUAUAGUUAUGUUAGGUUAGGUUAGGAUAGAUUUACUUUGGUUAGAUUUAAUAUAGUUAUGUUGGGUUAGGUUAGGAUAGAUUUACUUUGGUUAGAUUUGAUAUAGUUAUGUUGGGUUAGGUUAGGUUAGAUUUACUUUGGUUAGAUUUGAUAUAGUUAUGUUGGGUUAGGUUAGGUUAGAUUUACUUUGGUUAGAUUUGAUAUAGUUAGGUUAGGUUAGAUUUACUUUGGUUAGAUUUGAUAUAGUUAUGUUGGGUCAGGUUAGGAUAGAUUUACUUUGGUUAGGUUUAAU